rnacentral:tRNA from 1 species
GAGGAUAGAGCUCAGCGGCGGAGCGCAUGCCUAGCAAGCACAAGGUCCUGGGUUCAAUCCCCAGCACCUCCA